CUAUAGUUAGGCUGACCAUGCUCUUUUCCCCAAUGGGAGCCCAGCGUACAAUGGCCGCAAACAGCGGCAUCCUCCUCAGUAGUGUAUGUAGCCUGUUGCUUGUAUGGGUUUGCCCUGAAGGACUUUGGAGACAGCC